rnacentral:rRNA from 1 species
UGGGGAAUUUUGGACAAUGGGGGCAACCCUGAUCCAGCAAUGCCGCGUGAGUGAAGAAGGCCUUCGGGUUGUAAAGCUCUUUUGUCAGGGAAGAAACACCGGCUCUAACACAGUCCGGGAAUGACGGUACCUGAAGAAUAAGCACCGGCUAACUACGUGCCAGCAGCCGCGGUAAUACGUAGGGUGCGAGCGUUAAUCGGAAUUACUGGGCGUAAAGCGUGCGCAGGCGGUUAUACAAGACAGGCGUGAAAUCCCCGGGCUUAACCUGGGAAUGGCGCCUGUGACUGUAUAGCUAGAGUGUGUCAGAGGGGGGUAGAAUUCCACGUGUAGCAGUGAAAUGCGUAGAUAUGUGGAGGAAUACCAAUGGCGAAGGCAGCCCCCUGGGAUAACACUGACGCUCAUGCACGAAAGCGUGGGGAGCAAACA